CGCCAAUGCCACCACUAGUGGAAAAUUUCCGAACGACAGAUUGCGAAAGAGUGAGUUGGACAUCCACUUAUCCGGCCAUGUUCCCGCAUCCCACCGGCCAGCGAAAUACGCCCCAAACUCCAUACUCAGCUCAACCCUAUCCAUGAAUUUUCCAAAGUACGCACAUGAGAUGGAAUACUCCAUCAGCAGACAUACAGCAACAAAAUAUUGUCCCUC